ACAAUAAAUAUGUGCAUCAUUUUCAAUAAUUGAACUGGGUAGAAACCACAAUAAUAAAUUAUGUUAAAAUAUACAUUUGUAACACACUGUACUCUUGGUCUUAUAUUCUUCAGUCACAUUUUCAAGAAACUAUGAAACUACAAGACGUGCAUUUAAUUCUGUAGCAUCGUUAUUUAAGCAUGUCUAUGUCUUCUUUUCUCUUUUUAUCUCACUUUUAAUUUUACUAUAUUUUUAAACAUAAGAGCACCAACUGAUUACAAUAAUUCAUCUAAUGUGUAUAUUAGUUUAAACACACACAAGAGAGAGAGAGAGAGAGAAAGAGAGAGAGAGAGAGAGAGAGAGAGAGAGAAUAAUAGCACAGACACUUCUACAGAGCUUGUAGGCCUCAUGUUUAAUUAUGUGAAAAUUUCACAUAGAGUUGUUUACUGCUGGCCCUUCACUGGUUAGUACACUGCAAUAGAACUAUAAACUCAAUCUACUGUAGCAGAAUAACAGAUAUUCAAACAUAUAAAAAUGUUCCACCUAACAUCUUUGACGUUCCACUAGCACGUCCAAACUUCCUGGAUGUACAGCCAUUUUCCAGACUAGAACACACUAUUACCUCAGCAGUUUCCACUUUUGCAAUCACAGAUAGCAUCAUGGGAUCAAAAAAUCUGACCGAGCUCUUUAAACAGUUACCAUGUUUAUAUAGCUAUCACUGCUUCACGCUUCAGGAAUAUAAAGCAAAUAUGUUUUGAAUCAUAGAUUGUUUUUACAUCUUGCCAGACUGUGGACUAAAGAUAAGGAUUGCUACUAAGAGGGCAAACAAAUUUUAAGCAAUAAUUAUCUAGUCGAUUGAAAUAAUUGGUAGUAACAAAAAUUAAUCUGACAUAUAUUUAAAGAACUGACGUUUCCUUUCAACAGUAUUUCAAGUUUCUGAGUCACAGGAGGAAUAUGUGUCCCCUUAGAGGCUUAUUGUGCCAAAUAUAUGUUAGCUUAAGUCAAUCCACUGAUUCUAUCUAAGCACAUGCCUUCUUAACAACUCCUUAUAAGUUCCUCUUUCUCAGUGCAUUUUACAUAAAUGCCUACAGUUUAUUCAGCUAUAAAUGAAUGGAAAACAGAUAUGGAAGUCAAGCUUGUGGCUAAAAGUUAAUGGUUGUUCUGAAUCUCCCCAUGUGAUACUAAAACUUAAGAAAGCCUACUGGAAAAAGGUGUCUUUUUCUCCACUUGCUGUUGGUCUUGUUUCUAUAUUUGGAGGAACUAAGAGGCCCAAACAUGUUCCAGAAUAAUAAUGCCCAUGUGUACAAAGCAUGUCACGGCCGGGAUCCCCACCCUAGGCGGGGCUCGAACCCUGGCCGUCCGUGGUGCACGUGCCCACGCUAGCACGUGGCUGAACACAGACCCAGACACAGGAUACAGCGAAGCGCUGCUUUUAUUGACAUGAAGACAAGACAUGGGAAGACGAACAGGAUACGAGACAUGGCGUGGUUAAAAAAGGAAAAUAAAGAGGUAACAGGUAACAAGAUCGACUCAGGAGCAUAGCCGGACUGGAACCACGGAACGAAUAACAGUAAACAAUCACGAACAAAGACAGGCACAAAAGGAUCCCUAUUUAUAGGGCUAGACAUUAGGGUAAACUGGGUACAGGUGAGACAAUCAGGGGAGAGAACAAUAGGACAGGUAAUCACAAGACACACGAACAAGCAGGCUUCUCGGGUUCACCUGCCAGCACCUUCCUCAGGCCUGGCAGGGAACAGUCCAGCAGUUCCUGACAAAGCAAACUCCAUUAAGAUGGUUUGGGUGCAAGAACAUGAGUGACCUGCCCAGAACCCUGACUUCAACUCAACAGAACACCUUUGGGAUGUCCAAUCUCACUAAUGCUCUUUAGCCUGAAUGGACAUAAAUCCUUUCAGGCGCUUUCCAAACUGUAUCAGAUAGCCUUCCCAGAAGAGUGGAAAGUGUUGGACCAAAUUCAUAUUAAUGGCCAUUGUUUUAAAAUGUUUAACUAAUGUUAAUGUUAACUAUAACUAAUGUUAAUUAGUUAUACUUUCCCACAUUGUCUUUAAAAAAAAGCUGAAUGGCAAUUUACGUUUAUUCUUCUAUUUGUAAUGAUCUGAUGAUCUGAUGAUCUGAUGAGGCUGUGAUGUAACUCUACCCUGAAAUGAAUAAUCCUUACUGUAAGGCAUGCUUGUUUUUCCAUAUCAGAUUGAAUAGCUAAUGUCUGGUAGGGGGCUGUGUUCUCUUGUGUCCCAAACAUCAAAUUGUGGAUGAAGGAGUCAUUUCCUGGAUCUCUGUAAAACUCAUAAUGAUAAAAGCACAUGUAUGUCUGUUGCACACAAUUACCAUCACUGAUUAUUUUUAGUUUCCAAGAAUGGCUUAACUUGGAGUGUUUAAGAAAAAGAAUGAUUAGAGUAUUUGCCAAAUGUUACGCUUGAGAUGUUCACAGGAAGGGCUUCUUUUUUUGCAAGGAUUACUAACAGCUUUUUUUCCCCCCUCCUUCACCAUCCUCCACACUGUGUGGCAGGACAACGUACUCAUGGGUCCAAUUAAUUGUUCUGUAAACCCUGUCAAAUGUCUAAUGAUUGGUGGAAUAUACAACAGUACAAAGCGUGUGUAUGUGCUUUCUAUAUUAUAUUUUCUAUUAUGUCUUUAUUAUGUUUUGUUAAGCUCAUUUCAAGCCUUUUAUCAAACAAUAUACUGAAUAUUUUUAUAUUGUUUAAGAAAAAAAAGGUUGAGAGGGAUUCCAGAUUAAGAAACACUGGGAGGCAGCACAACACUUUUCUGUACUGCUCUGCAUUGGCGUUAUUAACCUAAGUAAGCUGGAUGGUCCAAAAAGCAGGAUAGUCAGUAAGCAGAAGGCCUGCUGCUGACUCACUGGAUGACAUCUUGGGAAUGAAUGCAGAUGAAAGAGGGCCUUCAGGGAAUGGGAAGAACACUUAAUUUAUAAUAUCUAAUCCAGGUUGCUGUGGUGAGAUAAUCUAAACAUCUAUAUAUGUGGUAAAGAGCAACUAGAUAGUUUGCUUUCACAGAUGCAUCCUGUACCUAAGUUAACAAAGAGGACGGAAACUUAGCUCAACGAAUAUAAGAUUGAACCUGUAAGAUGUUCAGCUAUUAAAUUUUGUCUUUGAUGGAACAUAAUAACUAAAUAUAAUUAAAUAAAAAUGUGUACACUCAUGUGCACUUUAUGGAUUUGUAUUUUCAUAAAGAGUUUUUUGCACUGACAUCAUGUUGAAACCUCCAAGACAUGAAUGAAACUAGAACAGCUCUGUGGUUGAAUUGCUUUUUGCAGGUUCAAACUGGCCUUGUUUUAACUCAGAGUAGUUCUGAGUAGUCAGGUCUUUAAAGGGAUUUAGAUCAGAAAAGAGACAGGAGAAGGGUGGGUCAGGUAUAAAUUUGGUUGAAAAGGAAAUUUUGACAAACAUGACAACAGUGGAUUGAUUUUGGGAUUUGAGAUGAAGAAGCUGAAAUUUUGCUCUUUAAGACUAUAGGGAGUUCAGUACAUAACAUUUUUUCUUCUCAGCACAACUCCAUAAAUGAUGAAAAUCUGAAAUGCUGAGGUGGCUGGAAUUGCUGUUGGGAGAUUUGCCUGGAAGAUGACCUUUCAACAGCACUCCCACAGACAAACCACCAGUGGGAGACCAAGAGGAAUCGAGGGGGAAAGUGCUUCCUGGCUGUUUUUUGAAUAGUUUCCAUGGCCAUAAUGUGUAUUUCCCAUUACAUUCCAAAUGAUCUACCGUCUAUAUCAGUUUAAAUGAGUAGCAGUCACAUGUGACGAGAUGCAACAUUGUUGUAAUAAUAUUACUGUGCAACACAUAGGAACUUAAUUUAUAGUUAGAACAUACAUAGAUACUAUUAGAAGGGCAUUAAAAACCUAUUUCUUUGUAUCUAGGACUUGUGAUGUCAUAGCAUUUUCAUCUAUUAGGACUCUUUACACAAACGGCUACAGUGGACAUAUUCAUUGCUAUUCAUGGUGGCUAACUGGUCUUUUAAAUCAGAAAUCAAAGCUUUUCAAAUAAAGGAAGGUUAGAAAGAAGAUGUUUGUCACCAUGUUUUACAAUUAGCUAGAGGGGUUUGGGAGAAAUACAGCUUGUAAGCCCAGUCAAAGUGCAAUGUGUUUUACCAAUAAAGGUUUCAGAAGAUGACUCAGGGGGCUUAAAGGGGGACUCAAAUCUGCUACAGUCAAAGUUGUGGUCACAUUCUUAUUCCAGAAAAAAAAUGCCACAGGGAAAUCCCCAUGCCUUAUAAAGUCUGCACUUAUCAGACAGCAGAAUCUAACAUCGCCUAAUUCUCCAAGCACAGAGGAAAUUUCCUGCUGUUGACAUUUUAGUGUUGAUAAAAAUGUCAGAGACUAGAUUCAAAUAGUGGUUUAUAGCUUUUAAAUUGGAGCAAUUUAUAAAACCAUUUUCAGCUGAACUUACUGUAUAUCUGAGGUUGAAAAGAUCAAUAUCUAUCUAUCUUUAACAUACUUAGAACAAAUUCUUUUUUCAUUAUUCCAAAAUGACUUGGAAAUGUUUUUAUUGACGCUACUUACUAGGAUUGCUUUGUUUGUCUGUUUGUAAAAGAGUAUGUUAUGUAAGGAGCCAGAUUAACAGCUGUAGCACUUAAUUCAGUCAGUCUGUCUAAAGUUUGGACAAGCGUCACACAAAGUCUUUUCCAACUGUCCAGGUUCAGUGAAACUUUACUCACUGUGGCUGCAGAUUCCUGUUCUUGGCUGACAGGACUAGAAACCCAACGUGAUCUGAUUUUCCUCAGGUUCUGAUGUGUUGUAGACUAUUCUUAGAUGCUUUUAAGCUCACCAAAAUUGUAAAAGUGUUUGUUAUCAUAGCCUUUAUGUUGACACAAACCAGUUUGACCUGUCAUCAACAAGGCAACAAAACUACCAUACACUUGAUGUUUUUCACACAUCUGUGUAAACUCUUGAGACUGAUGUGUGUGAAAAUCCCAGGAGAUAUGCUGCCAACAAUCCUGCCUCAGAUAAAGUCACAAGAUCCUUUUUUUUUACUCAUUCUGAUGUUGCACUGCGCUGCUGCUACUUGAUUGGCUGAUUAGAUAACUGCAUGAAUGAGUAGGUUUUCCUCAUAACGUGGUUGGUGAGUGUAUGUUUAUAUCUUGUGAAGUAAAUCUUCAGGCUUAUCCUUUGGCCCCCAAUAUUUGUCAUAAACGAUUCCUUUUGAUUUUUAUCAUGUACACAAAAUGACCUGGACUUGAAAUCAACACAGGGAAACAGCUAGUUGUGUAUUGGUGUACAUCUCUGACUGGUGUAUGUCUCUGUGCUGUAUGAGGUCCUGGCCUAGCCUUUGAAGCUUGUUUUGUCUUAAUCACAGACAGAUGGUUCAUCUAAAUCUUCAUACCUUAAAGUCAUUCAAGUUUGAUUUUUUUUUUUUUUAACAUUCAAGAAAGUGUUGUUUUAUGUGAUUUAAAGUUGUAAGCCUUGUGGUAAGUAUACUGAUUGAUAAAUGAAUCUUCUUCUGUUCUAAUGUUACCCUCUCAGUGUCAUUCAACACAGUACUGCUGAUAAAAAAAAACCCAAAACCGUCAACUGGCAUGCCAGUUCUCACGUACUGAUUAUUUUCCAUGAUUCACACAUGAUGCCAUGAUUUAUACCAGAAGAAUUUUCCACAUGGUGUUGGUUUGGUCAGAAGUUUUCUAUUUGAGCUCAUCUGAGGUUAAAGCAGCACACCAACAAGCCAUUUGAGCUAAACACAGCAAAUAAAUUGACAAUUCACUACCAAUCAACCAAUGAAAUAAUAAUAAUAAUAAUAAUAAUAAUAAUAAUAAUAAUAAUAAGAAGAAGAAGAAGAAGAAGAAGAAGAAGAAUUCUUAUCACUGAUGUCAGCUUGUAGAAGCCAUUAGGACAGGUUUGAUGCUGUAAUGUCUCAUAAAGUGCUGAAAUAACACAGAAAAAGGGCUACAUAUCAUUGAAAGUAGACAGUUUGGAACAAAGUUACUUUGUGAAGUCUGAAUUUUACGGGCUGGUAAAAUGUUGGAAAAUAGCUCAUAUUAAACAGUCGCCAUUGAUUGAGAGCACAUGUAUUUGAGGGCACUUCAACAAAGACACAGACAUUUUUCACAGAGCUUUUUUUUUUUGUAAUUUUUAUAUUUAUUUUGUUACUAAAUGCAGUGUGCAGCCCUGAAUCUAUGAUGGAAAACAAAUGUUCAGAUGCAUGUUUGUGUUUUAUACCCAGCAGCAGCAUAGAUUUCUGUGAGGAAGACAACAUCAAACUUGACCUACAGUUGCCUCUAAAAGUAUUACAACUGCAAGACCAACCCUUUAUAUAUAUAUACUAAAGAAAUUUGAGUUUGAGACCAACAGAUGAAUAUGAGACAAUUGAUCAGAAUUUCAGCUUUCAUUUCUUAAUAUUUCCAGCUAGAUCUAGAACAUGAUAUCUUUUGUUUGAACCCAGGUAACUGACAGGAGUUUCUUGUUGUGCCCUGUUUGAAUGAUUGAUUAAACAAAUAACAUAAUGUCUACUCUUGAUUUUAAACAGGAUCAACCAAAAUGAAGAACAGAGAGCCGUCUAUGGGGAAAAGCAAGGCAUUAUGAAGCUGAAAAAAGAGGGAAAAUUAAUCCGAGCCAGUGUAAAAGCAUUGGGCAUAGCCAGUACAAUAAUUUGGAAUGUGCUGAAAAAGAUAUAAACCACUGAUGAACUAAUGAACUAACAACUACACACAUGGAACAGGUCAGCCAAGAAAAACAACAGCAGUUUAUGACAGAAACAGUGUGAGACAUGUGGGCAAAAAAACAAAACAACAGUCAGUGACAUCACCAACAACAUCCAAAGGGCAGGGAAGAAGGUAUCUAAGUCCUCCAUUUGGGUAAGACUUUGAGAGCAGAAAUAUAGAGGUCAUACCACAAGAUGCAAACCGCUCAUCAGCAGUAAGACAUGGAAGAACAGAUUAGAAUUGGCAAACACAGCCACAAAUGUUCAAGAACCAAGACUGACCUUUACCACAGUGAUGGAAAAGCCAACGUUUGGGGAAAGCUCCUGAUCCAAAACUUUUUAGGAAGUGCCAUGCCUGUUCCUAUACUUCUGCUCACAAACAUUUAUCUGUUACCAAAGGUUUAACACACCUAGAAGUAAAUAUCAGGAAAUGAGAGCUGAAAUACUGAAAUAUGUGAAAACACACAUUCAUCAUUUGAUACCAAACAUCUUAAAUAUCUUUAGUGUGUGGCAAAAACUACUGUAUGCUGCUAUGUGAUAUGAUGUACACUAUAAGCUACUAUUUAGUGAAUUUUUUGUACUGCAUAAUUGAGAAUUGACAACAUACAUUGAUACAGUGUAGUGACCAUUUUGUGUGGUCAUUUUGACAAGGUAUUCCACUGUGAUGAAUGAGUGAAGUGCCUUCAGCAGAGUAUUGCUCAUCAUCAUGCAUAAUCAUCUAAUUAGAUAUUGAAUAAAUAUGGUGUAGAUGCACAAAACAGACUCGAGAGCUGUGCCAGAACUUUGCAUGUUACUGUUCAUACUGAAUUUAUUUUGUCUUUAUAAGAUCCAUGAUUUGGCCUAAACAUCAAUAAAUGCAUCAUACAAUACUUCUUGUGAAUAAUUUGUGUAAAUAACCUGUAUACCAAAACAAAAUGUGAGGAAAAUAUUGGCACAAUUGCAGGCAAGUAAUCAAGGUUUUGUUCUGAAACCACUCUAUUUCAAGGCCUACCCGAAAUUAUGAUAUUUAAUUUAUUUAAUUUUGUGAUAAUUAGUUUGCCUGUACUUCUACUUUGUUAGCACCUCUGUCAUUCCAGAAGAGACAGAACAGAUCACUGACGCACUUUAAACAUUUUCAGUAGUUUUAUUGAAAAAUGCCUCUUCUGAUUCAGAAAUAAAUAAGAAAAUAAGGCUGUGAAAUUCACAAUGUGCAGUUAAAAUGUAAAUGAGCAAUUCUAUGAACAUAGUCUUGCAACAAAUUCCAACUGCGUUUUACAUUGAUAUUAAAAAGAAAGAAAAAAAAAACUAUAUUCUGAUCUUAACAUGUACUUACUAAA